UAGGGAAUCUUCCACAAUGGACGCAAGUCUGAUGGAGCAACGCCGCGUGAGUGAAGAAGGUUUUCGGACCGUAAAGCUCUGUUGUUGGUGAAGAAGGAUAGAGGUAGUAACUGGCCUUUAUUUGACGGUAAUCAACCAGAAAGUCACGGCUAACUACGUGCCAGCAGCCGCGGUAAUACGUAGGUGGCAAGCGUUGUCCGGAUUUAUUGGGCGUAAAGCGAGCGCAGGCGGAAGAAUAAGCCUGAUGUGAAAGCCCUCGGCUUAACCGAGAGAUUGCAUCGGAAACNGUUUUUCUUGAGUGCAGAAGAGGAGAGUAGAACUCCAUGUGUAGCGGUGGAAUGCGUAGAUAUAUGGAAGAAUACCAGUGGCGAAGGCGGCUCUCUGGUCUGCAACUGACGCUGAGGCUCGAAAGCAUGGGUAGCGAACAGGAUUAGAUACCCUGGUAGUCCAUGCCGUAAACGAUGAGUGCUAAGUGUUGGGAGGCUUCCGCCUCUCAGUGCUGCAGCUAACGCAUUAAGCACUCCGCCUGGGGGAGUACGACCGCAAGGUUGAAAC
rnacentral:rRNA from 1 species